UUCUUAUUAUUUUACUAUAAGUAAAAUCUGCUCACUGUUAAAUAAAUAGCCGCAGAAUUUUAACUGUGCUAAGGUAGCAUAAUCAUUUACCUUUUAAUUAAAGGUUUGCAUGAACGAUUUAACAAUUGAAAUGCUUUUUUAUUAAUAAAUAUAAAAAUUAAGCUAAACAUAAAAACGUGUUUAUAAACUAAAUAGACGACAAGACCCUAUUGAACUUUACUAAAGUUAAGCUGGGGCAGCUAAUUAAAUACAAUUUUAAUUUAUACUUUUUCAAAAAUUUCUGAAUUCUUCAUAAAAACAAGUUACCAUAGGGAUAACAGCGUGAUAUUUUUUUAAAGCUCUUAUUAAAAAAAAAGGUUACGACCUCGAUGUUGAAUUAGAAUUUCUUUAAGACGCAAUAGUAUUAAAAGAAGGUCUGUUCGACCUUUAAACUUCUACA
rnacentral:rRNA from 1 species